CUGUCAGGGAAGCGAAAUGCAAUCGAUGGCUCAGACCUGAAGGCUUCAAUUUAAUCUCUGCAAAGAUUAAUCUCCAAAGAGUCAAAGUUUUCUCUUGUUAUCUCUCUUUUUUUCAGUGCCACCAGAGACCCAUCCCAUCAGUCUCAGACAAAAUCCUCAGAAAUCCCACCAUAAAAAUACACUGGAAAUGGCAGGGGAAGAGCAGCAAGACAAGCAAUUAUUUGGGAAUAUAUGGAGCAGACACAAAAGUCAUGGAGCACCUGAGCAGUGACACCAUGGGAAAGCCUCACGUAUUCCAUGACUGCAGGUUACUGGCAUGGAUUUGAAGACGUACUUGGCAAAGGUACUUUCUGUCUGGGACAGGGAUGAGCAAAACAGCAAGCCUGUUUCUCUCUAAAUCAGCAUCUU